CCGCAAGGCUAAAACCCAAAGGAAUUGACGGGGGCUUACACAAGCGGUGGAGCAUGUGGUUUAAUUCGAAACAACGCGCAAAACCUUACCAAUCCUUGACAUAUGAAAAACCAGGGUGUUUACCCGCUCUGUCUCUUUUAUACAGGUGCUGCAUGGCUGUCGUCAGUUCGUGGUGUGAGCUGUUGGGUUAAGUCCCAGAACGAACGCAACCCUCCUUUGAAAUGAAGGUUUACCUUUUUCAAAGACUGCCAAGGAUAUCUUGGAGGAAGGUGAGGAUGACGUCAAGUCCGCAUGGCCCUUAUGGGUUGGGCUACACACGUGCUACAAUGGGAAUGACAAAAGGAGGCAACAUGGCAACAUUGAGCAAAUCCCAAAAAGUUUCCUUAGUUCGGAUUGUUCUCUGCAACUCGAGAACAUGAAGUUGGAAUCGCUAGUAAUCGUAGAUCAGCACGCUACGGUGAAUUUGUAUCUAAGCCUUGUACACACCGCCCGUCACACUCUGAAAAUUUUCAUGCCUUGAAGCAAAAGAAGUUCACCAAGAACACACAGCGCAAUUAAAAAAAAACAUCUUCCCUUUUUUUUUUCUGUGUCUUUGUUGGAACCUUUUCUAGAGUUAGGGAGGUGAUUGGAGUG
rnacentral:rRNA from 1 species